rnacentral:rRNA from 1 species
GGUUCGUAGUUGAAUUGUGGAGUAUGGCCACGGGAUUCAGUCCUUUUCCCACGGUCUAGGAACGUCCCGACCAUACUCCGAGAACGUCAGAAACUAAGAUCACGGAAGCGUUUUUUACAAACUGCCACCGACUACGCGAGCAAUGUUCGCUGGUGGACGUCCGUGUUUUUUACUGUGACUAAAGAAGUGCGACCAAGGCAGUCCAUCGACAUGAAUUAGAAAGCAUGGGAUAACAAAGCAGCAGCCUAUGAGCUACCGUUUAGGCUUUUGUUGGUUUUAAAGGUUCGUGGGAGAUUACGGGCGUGUAGGACCGGCGUUGGGGGUUUUCCAAAAUCCCCGCGUCUCCUCCUGGCAUCGGAAACGGUGCUUGCGGGGCCUGCUUCGCUCAGGAAUGAAGGAGGGUUGCUCGGGGGAAAACGUACUUGGGCGUGAGAGGUGAAAUUCUUAGACCGCCCAAAGACGAACUACAGCGAAGGCAUUUUCCAAGGAUACCUUCCUCAAUCAAGAACCAAAGUGUGG